GAUGAACGCUAGCGGGAGGCCUAACACAUGCAAGCCGAGCGGUAUUUGGGCUUCGGAGCAGAGGGGGCGGUGCACGGGUGCGGAACACGUGUGCAACCUGCCUUGAUCUGGGGGACAGCCUUUCGAAAGGAGGAUGAAUACCCCAGAAUAUAUUGAGUGGCAUCGUUUGAUAUUGAAAACUCCGGUGGAUAGAGAGGGGCACGGGCAGGAUUAGAUAGUUGGUGAGGUAACGGCUCAGCAGGUCAAUGAUCAUUAGGGGGCCUGAGCGGGUGAUCCCCCACACUGGUACUGGGUCACCGACCAUACUCCUACGGGAGGCCGCAGUCUGGUAUAUUAGGCAAUGGGUUAGAGUCUUAUCCAGCCAUCCCGCGUGAAAGCCGGCGGCGCUAUGGGUUGUAAGCUUCUUUUGUAUUGGGAUAACCCUACUCUCGUGGGAGUAGCUGACGGUACUAUACGAAUAAGCACCGGCUAACUCCGUG
rnacentral:rRNA from 1 species